UACGUAGGGUGCAAGCGUUAAUCGGAAUUACUGGGCGUAAAGCGUGCGCAGGCGGUUGGGCAAGACAGAUGUGAAAUCCCCGGGCUCAACCUGGGAACUGCAUUUGUGACUGCAUGACUAGAGUACGGUAGAGGGGGAUGGAAUUCCGCGUGUAGCAGUGAAAUGCGUAGAGAUGUGGAGGAACACCGAUGGCGGAGGCAGCCCCCUGGGUUAACACUGACGCUCAGGCACGAAAGCGUGGGGAGCAAACAGG
rnacentral:rRNA from 1 species